rnacentral:tRNA from 1 species
GGGCCUGUAGUAAAGUGGUAUUACGCGGCAUUCGCAUUGCCGAGGCAGGGGUCCGAUUCCCCUCGGGUCCA